rnacentral:piRNA from 1 species
UGCCAGGUGAGCAUUUUGAGACCAUUGCAGU